AUUGAACGCUGGCGGCAUGCUUUACACAUGCAAGUCGAGCGGCAGCGCGGGGGCAACCCUGGCGGCGAGCGGCGAACGGGUGAGUAAUGCAUCGGAACGUGUCCCGUAGUGGGGGAUAACCCGGCGAAAGCCGGGCUAAUACCGCAUAUGCUCUACGGAGGAAAGGGGGGAUCCGCAAGGACCUCUCGCUAUGGGAGCGGCCGAUGUCCGAUUAGCUUGUUGGUGGGGUAAUGGGCUUUACCAAGGCGACGAUCGGUAGCUGGUCUGAGAGGAUGAUCAGCCACACUGGGACUGAGACACGGCCCAGACUCCUACGGGAGGCAGCAGUGGGGAAUUUUGGACAAUGGGGGCAACCCUGAUCCAGCCAUGCCGCGUGCGGGAAGAAGGGCCCUUCGGGUUGUAAACCGCGUUUAGUCGGAGAAAGGCGAUCUCUAAUACGGUCGUUCUUGACGGUACCGGCGGAUAAGCACCGGCUAACUACGUGCCAGC
rnacentral:rRNA from 1 species